UACGUAGGGUGCGAGCGUUGUCCGGAAUUAUUGGGCGUAAAGGGCUCGUAGGCGGUCUGUCGCGUCGGGGAGUGAAAACUCAGGGCUUAACCCUGAGCCUGCUUCCGAUACGGGCAGACUAGAGGUAUGCAGGGGAGAACGGAAUUCCUGGUGUAGCGGUGAAAUGCGCAGAUAUCAGGAAGAACACCCGUGGCGAAGGCGGCUCUCUGGGACGGUACUGACGCUGAGACGCGAAAGCGUGGGGAGCGAACAGG
rnacentral:rRNA from 1 species